UGACGGUGAGGGACGAAAGCCAGGGAGCGAACCCGGAUUAGAUACCCCGAGUAGUCCUGGCCGUAAACGCUGUGAGCUAGGUGUUGCGUCAGCAACCUGCUGGCGCAGUGUCGAAACGAAGGUGUUAAGCUCACCGCCUGGGAAGUACGGUCGCAAGACUGAAACUUUAAGGAAUUGGCGGGGGAGCACCACGAGGGGUGCGGCGUGCGGUUUAAUCUAACUCAACGCAGAGAACCUCACUAGGGGCGACGGCAGGAUGAAGAUCAGCUUGAAGAGCUUAUCUGACAAGCCGAGAGGUGGUGCAUGGCCGCCGUCAGCUCGUGCUGUGAAGUGUCCUCUUAAGUGAGGCAACGAGCGAGACCUGUAUCUGCAAUUGCUAACAGCCACAUGUGGGACUGAGCACUUUGCAGAGACUGCUCCGGAAACGGAGAGGAAGGUGCAGGCUACGGUAGGUCUGUAUGCCCCGAAUCCCCUAGGCUACACGCGCGCAACAAUGGUUAGGACAAUGGGAUGCAACUCCGAAAGGAGAAGCUAAACCUCUAAACCUAAUCCAAGUCUAGAUUGAGGCUUGCAACUCAGCCUCAUGACAAC
rnacentral:rRNA from 1 species